UGGGGAAUUGUUCACAAUGGGCGCAAGCCUGAUGACGCAACGCCGCGUGGGGGAUGAAGGUCUUCGGAUUGUAAACCCUUGUCGAGCGGGAAGAACGAUCCGCGUAUUAACACUACGCGGAACUGACGGUACCGCUAAAGGAAGCCACGGCUAACUCUGUGCCAGCAGCCGCGGUAAUACAGAGGUGGCAAGCGUUGUUCGGAAUUACUGGGCGUAAAGGGCGCGUAGGCGGCCAUCUAAGUCAGACGUGAAAUCCCCCGGCUUAACCUGGGAACUGCGUCUGAUACUGGACGGCUCGAGUUUGGGAGAGGGAUGUGGAAUUCCAGGUGUAGCGGUGAAAUGCGUAGAUAUCUGGAGGAACACCGGUGGCGAAGGCGGCAUCCUGGACCAACACUGACGCUGAGGCGCGAAAGCUAGGGGAGCAAACGGGAUUAGAUACCCCGGUAGUCCUAGCCCUAAACGAUGAAUGCUUGGUGUGGCGGGUAUCGAU
rnacentral:rRNA from 1 species